UGUUCCCCCGGCCAGACAGUGCAACCACGGGGGGAAAUGCUCGAGCACGCAGCAAGGAGAGGAGAGGAGGCCAACACCGGCCGCAGCGCCGCCAGAUCCGCCCUCCCUACCGCCGGAUGAGAGCAAAUCGCGCGGGAAGGGCGGUAACCGCACGGGAAGACACCAGCACCGCGCAGUGAAUUAUGGCGGAUAUGCAUCCCAUCCAAGUUGCGUGGGAACAUGGAGACCCAGCGGGCCAUGGAUUUCGUUGCAAGUACUGUGGAGUUAAAAGAAGCAGUGGAGGCGCAACCACGUUCAAGCAACACCUAGCAAAUGUUGGAGGUGGUGUGAAACAUUGCAACCAUAGCUAUUUUUUCUUAUUUUCACUCUUCAAUGUCACAAAUAUAGGGCAUGGUUACCGCGCAAUAUCGCACGGUAACGCGAGAAACCGUGCGGUUACCGAGUUUACCUGCAAGGUUUCAUUCAUCGCGGUUUUUGCGGUAUACACGGUUACCGUGCGGUAACCGUGCCACCGCACUGCCACGGCACGGACAGCAGGAACGCCUAUUGAACAUCUGAAGAUCGACAGGCUCACGGGCGUGGGCUGUCGAACAGCCGUUGGUCGACAUGGCACGCGGUGGCAGGAGGUGGGCCCAAUCGCCCUUCUCUCGUUUGAUAGGCCCUCCUGCCGAAUAGCAGCAUGUCGACGAGCCCCUAUCGACCAUCCUAUGUUCGAUAGGUCCCUAAUUUUGCGAAUUUUCGAAGACGGAGUCCUUGGCACGAACGACUGAUCGACGUCGCCGUCUCCGACAUGACCCCCUUGAACACGUACUCUGCUGAAACCAUGCCCGUAUCUGCCUUCCCAGCACUCAUAGAACCAGAUCUUACCACGAGGAGGUAUACGGUGGAGGGAACAGGGAGCCGGCGGUCGUCAGCAGUGGUGAGAGCGGAGACGGUGGAGGCUGGAGUUGGAGCCAUCAACGCGAGGGAGGCCAGGUGGCAUUUUUAGCCAUCGGAGUUGAAGAAUGAUAAAUGACGUAUGAAUUAUGAGUAAAAUAUAUUUAUGUACUAUAGGGUAGUUAGAGUAUCCACGACAAUGAUGACCUGGAGGUAUCAGUAUGUGUUUAGGCCGACAGUAAGAAAAUGGGAAGCAAACAUAGUUAGCGAGGAGGCAAUUGGUUUGUUAUACUUUCAUGUCCACCAAUAUAUUGUUACAGUGUAAUUUA